CAAUGGUUUCCGAAUCACAAUUCAGUGAGGAAGAUUAAAAGGGAAUCCUGUGAAAAUCAGGGACUAUCCCCGUAGCUGUAAGUUUUAUUCCUGCAAAGGAAAAAUGUUGUAACCUCUGUAUGCCACUGGUCUCAGAUCGGGAAGGUGUUACAACAGAAACAAGUCAGAAGACCUGCCAUUUCAAUC
rnacentral:ncRNA from 1 species